GAGCUACAUGUGCCGCGUGUCAUCACGGAUGCUUUCAAGUCCCUCCCUCCCUCUCCGCUGUCGGGGCUGUCCGUGGGAACCGGGCGGGAGGAGCGCCGCAGCCCCGUGGGGACUGAACGGGUCUCGGAGGGCUGCGAGCAGCAUUGAUGAUUGGACUAAAACCCAGUGGAGACAGAUUAAUGGGGAACAGAUGGAUAUAGAGAUCAGAUGAUUUGCCAAGGUCAAGUUUUUAGUAGUAGAAGAUACUAUCUUGACAGAUCUUCUGGGACUCCAACUUCAUAACCUAGAAGAAGAAAUCCAUGGUAUAGUUGACAGAGCUGUGCUAGAGUUGGGUACUUGAAAUGUGAGAGAUGUCCAUCUUUUUCCACCUAUUUCCAUAGAAGAGUAUGUACAGAUUGCAGUCUUGAUGAAGUUUUACUUCAGGAAAUUCAUGAUACCAGUGAAUAGUUUCACGUGAGCAAAAUUCAGUGGCUUUUUGUAUGCAGCGUGGUUUACGUCAUUGUGUAUUGAAUAUAAUUUAAUUAAAGUUUUCAACUCAAAAUAUGAAAUGUGAUAUGUAUAAACAGGUUAUAACUACUUUUCUUGUUCUCAGAUUUUGGCAGGAACCGGUUGAAUGUGGGCUGCCAUGGAAUUUUCUUAUGAAGAGCAUCACAGCUCUUCAUAAAGAGAGAGAGAGCUCUUCAUAAAGCAUAAAGAGCUUCUUUAUUAUUCAGUCAAACAGCUGCUUGGGACUCUAGAUAACAUUCAAGUAAGGACUUGAUAGAAAUAUUAUUAGUAUAUCAUUUUUAUUGACUCCGUUGUUACACUUUACGUUAAAAACUUUUUUCCUGAAUUUUUAUCAGUGACUUUUGUUUUCUUCAGAUGUUAUUCAUGUGAGAUUAUAUGUGCUAUGUAUAUUCUAAGGACAUUCUUAUCUCCAUGUAGGAGUUAAUAAAACUACAGCCUUCUAAUCUUAUGUUUUUCUAGACUUUUUAAAAAUCACUUAAUAUUAUACUGUCCACUUGCAGCAUGUAAUAAUGUCUUACUGUAUACAAUAAUAAGACAAUUUCUUG
rnacentral:lncRNA from 7 species